ensembl:misc_RNA Y_RNA Y RNA
GGCUAGUCCAAGUACAGUGGUGAUUACAACUUAUGGAUUGCAACCAGUUACAGACUUCUUUGUUCCUUCUUCACUCCCACUGCUUCACUUGAUUAGCCUAAA